rnacentral:misc_RNA from 1 species
GUGGAGUUCUGGAUCUGUGUUUUGUUGACUCUUUUUGGAUGGCUACCUGGUAUUGUCUAUGCUGUUUGGGUCUUGACCAAGUGAGAAAAAAGGUGAAUAUGUGAUGAAGCCCAUAACUAAGUCACUUUAUUUCCACCUAAUGGAGUAUUAUCUAGCUGUUGUUUUAUUUAUUCUUGGAUGUAUUUUUUUUCUAAGUUUAUCCCCUCCUUUUUCUUUAUUGGCUACUAUUCUCUCUUGUGUAUUCCAUCUUGGAUAGAGUGUUGGUUGUGUACUUCCAUUCUGUUAUUUUAAUUGAAUAUACCAAUAAUUGUCAGUAC